GAACUUGUGCUGCAGACCCUUCCCCAGCUCUGUUCCCUUCUCUGGACACAAUUCAGCCCCUCAGGGUCUUCCUUGUGAGGAGAGGCCCAAACUGAGCGCAGGGUUCGAGGUGCGGCCUCACCUGUGUGGAGUGAAGAGGAGCAAUGACUUCCUCAGUCUUGCUGGCCACAGAAGUUGUGCUGGGUUUGGCUGAGCUGUAGUUACAGUGGCAGCUGACUGGAAGGAGAGGUGCACAAGUACUGCUACCACCAGAAAAGCAUCCUUCUGACAGAGCUGCAGCUUCUGAGGUCCUUGAGUUUCAGGAAAAGUACAGGCAUUCCUGUAAAUCUCCUGGGAGCUACACCUAGAUAAGGUUGCAGAACUGAAGCAGACUUUUUAUCAUGCACGUUUCACUUCUACUUACAGUUUUCAGGACAUUGAAUAUUCCUCCAGUGCCUUCAUAAAAUUCCUGGUGAAGCUGGGCAUUGCUCAGUCUGGAUAAAGUUAUCAGGCAAGCUCUAGCAUUCUCACUUCUUAGAUACUCUAUAAUCAUGGAGUGAAACUCAGCAUGCAUUACAUUAAAUGAGCUGAAACCAGGAAAAUCUGUGUCAAGGAGGUGCCUCUGCAGUGCAGAAAGGUAUCAGUUUUCCACUGUUCUUUAUUUGCACUUUUAAGGAAUCGGUCCUAUCUGCACUGCAUGAAAAGAUUAUGUUUUUCUUUUCCCAAAGAUGCAAAGAUAUUGUACUGCAGAUGCUGGAUAGACACUGCUGACUAAUCCAACUGUGCUGACUGUGGUGCAGGUGAACAGAGCAGGAGAGAAAAGAUUUUUCCUUCUCUGGGAAAUCAUGCCCUGACUUCAGCAGAUUCCAAAAAUAUUGAUGCCCAGGUGAAGGUGGGGAUGCCCAAUGACUCGUAAGUGAGCAGGGACAGCAGAAGCCAUUGAUCUGUCCUUUGGUUUAGACAGGAUGGUGAAUAAAUGCAAAUAUGGUCUUCACUCGUCUUCUUUAAGGAGCUUUCCUCCUCCUGGAGUCUCCCAGGGUUGUGUGGAAGAACCAGAAUCGAUGCCAGGCUGUGUACUCACGGUGGUUCCCCAGCUCAUUUCUGCUUCAGCACACAAGAGCCUAGUGCACAGACUGACACGGAGUGUGCUGCUGAGUGGUGAUGGGAGCAGAGAUUAAAUCACAUGAGAUUAUGUUCCUCACUCCUGGUUUUGCUUCUGUCUAUUUGAAGUGCAAAAUAAACUGGACAUGUUCAUAAAAAAGUUCCAGCAAAUGCUUGUUAUAUCUUGGCUCUCAUUUUCUGUGUGUGUUGAUCAAAUAGAGACAGAUGGAACCUGGUGAUGAUUUAAGACAUUAAUGUAGCCACAGAUUGUGCUGUAAACUAUAUUAUAAUCCAUGUUUCAUAUGGAAGCUGAAAUUCUAGACUGGAUAGCGGUUUUACUGUUCAAAUACAGUACAUUCACUGUCAUUUAUAACAUAAAAGGACAACUGCAGAGUAAGAAAAUAAAUAAAUAUAUGGGGUUACUUGUAGGAAAGCAGAAUAUUUAUCUAUUUGAGCUUGAAAAGGUGUCUCAGGCUGUGAUUUAAGAGGGUAAUGAUUGCAAUAAAUCAAAUGAAGCAGGGGCCUAAAUUAAAGAUGAGAAAGCUAACAUGGCCAAGAUAAAUGCAUUUGAGU